AAUGAACGCUGGCGGCAUGCCUAACACAUGCAAGUCGAACGAGACCUUCGGGUCUAGUGGCGCACGGGUGCGUAACGUGUGGGAACCUGCCCUUAGGUUCGGAAUAACUCCCCGAAAGGGGUGCUAAUACCGGAUAAUGUCUUCGGACCAAAGAUUUAUCGCCUUUGGAUGGGCCCGCGUUGGAUUAGCUAGUUGGUAGGGUAAAAGCCUACCAAGGCGACGAUCCAUAGCUGGUCUGAGAGGAUGAUCAGCCACACUGGGACUGAGACACGGCCCAGACUCCUACGGGAAGCAGCAGUGGGGAAUAUUGGACAAUGGGCGAAAGCCUGAUCCAGCAAUGCCGCGUGAGUGAUGAAGGCCUUAGGGUUGUAAAGCUCUUUUACCCGGGAUGAUAAUGACAGUACCGGGAGAAUAAGCUCCGGCUAACUCCGUG
rnacentral:rRNA from 1 species